rnacentral:misc_RNA from 1 species
AAAGUCGUAACAAGGUCUCCGUUGGUGAACCAGCGGAGGGAUCAUUACCGAGUUUUUACAACUCCCAACCCUAUGUGAACCUUACCAAUCGUUGCUUCGGCGGAACGCCCCGCGGCCCCUCGGGGUCCGGACCCAGGCGCCCGCCGAGGAACCCAAACUCUUCUGUUUUUUAGUUGUAUCUUCUGAGUGGAUUUAACAAAUGAAUCAAAACUUUCAACAACGGAUCUCUUGGUUCUG